rnacentral:lncRNA from 1 species
CAAGAAAGAGCCCCCAUCUUUCUGGCUCUGUGUGGGGAUAGGAGCCUAACUUAGAUAAGCAAAAAUUAGCAAACACAGAUGGCCUAAUUGCAUUGACCAAUUCCCCACAAAUGCCUCCUGUACUUUUUCCACUCUCUCACCUCAGCAUUUAAAAGCUCUUCCAACUUUGGUUUCUGCAGAAUUGAGUUCAAUCUCUUUCCCUUAUUGCCAUAACCUUGGCCCCAAACGCAAUAGGUGUGGAAUAAAUCUUCCUUACCUGUUUAACUUGUCCACUGCAACUUUUCUUUGACAUACGGUUUGCCUAGAAUCACACUAAAAGAUGGCCACAUAAAUCUAUAGCCAAAAGAGUUUCAGUAUAAGGUGAAAUUGGCCAUAGUAGCACGUGUUCGUGCUAGGUGACUGGAGAUUUUAAAAACCUAGGUAAUCAACGUAGUGUCUCUCUUCGAGUUCUAUGUGCACAAGGUGAGUCUUUGAGGGAUGUUCCACUGGGCCAAAGUCUAGGCCAAAAGAUCUUUUAAAAGGUGUAAAAAUGAGAACUAUUGAGGGCAGAAUGAUUAGCUGUGUGAACUGAAAGUAAAUAUAGAAUACUGGGAUGGGACUGAAGGAUGGAGAUAAUUAUUCUUCUGCACGUUCAAGGAGUUAAGUUGCUGUGAUUUUUUUUCCAGAGGUAAGAUGGAAAAUUAAGUCAUAUAUGCAACAAAUCUCUUUUUAUGAUGGUAAGUUUCUUUGAACUUUUUUAUGCCUUCCAACUAGUGAAGAUAAUUGGAUAGGUUAUCCAAUGAUUCUUAUAUGACAACUUUGCUUGCAAAAACAAAGUGGGUCAAAAAUGCAAAUAUAGCCUUCUGCUUUAAUGCAAAUAUGGGAAAUAAGCAAUUAUCUGACAAAUGGCAGCUGUUUAAACUGCAGGAUACUAAACUGGUAUCUUAGCAGGGGUGUCAUUAUCUAUAGGCCAUUUAAAGUUUGUUUCUUUAUUAUUUCAUUUUUAUUGGCUUUGGUUUUAAAAAGGGAAAGAUAAACUCCCCAACUGAAGGCUUUAUUACUUUUACUAUAUAAAUGUUGCUCUAUGACCAAAAAGAUAUGCUGUUAUUUGAUUAAAGUUCUCAAAAGAGUAAUCUCAACUUUUUUAUUAUUUCUAUUUAGAGAUAAAGAAAAUACUUGAGUGUGUGUGUGUGUUUGUGUAGCAGCCAAGUUGAAACUUUUAUGUUGACAUUAUUCUUGUUGAAAUUUAUCUUCACAAUUCAUAGAAAUUGGUGAUUGAUGAGAAAUUUUAAUUUUUUUAAGUAAAAUUUGGAUUUGCUUAGCAUCUCAGGACAGAACAUUCUUCAUGGAUAGAAUUCUGUUCUACAUGGAAGUGGGCAGAUAAAUGGGGCAAACUGUGGUGGAAUGGCAAAGGAGGUAAGGUUACUUUCCAUUGCUCCCGUUUACUUUUUUUUUCAUUUACUCCUAAGCACCGUCUCUCUCUUUCAUUUCAGGUAUUCAGUAUCCUGUUAAUUGUAAUCCGAUCUCCCCUGGAGAGAAAAUGAUGUGGGAUCUUGUUAUGUUACCCAGGCUGGAGAGCAGUGGCUAUUCACAGGUGUGAUCGGCACACUAUGACCUGGAACUCCUGGCCUCAAGUGACCCUCCUGCCUCAGCCUCUCAAGCAGCUGGGACUACAGGCUCCUGACACCAUAUCCAGCUGAACCUGAUUUUAUAUUCCAGUGGCUGACAAACUAUUUAACUCCUCUGAACUACAGAUUCUACCCACCUAAUUUUUGCCAGUUUGUAUGCAAAAGAACAACUUAUCACUUUUUAUUUUCAAGCCACUUCCCUCCAGCCAUGUACAUUAAACCCAUUUCAAAAUAAACUUUGUCAAGAAAGCUUACCUACUUUCUAGACUCUAGAUCAAAGAUGUUUCCCCUCAACUUCCAGGCUUGAAAUCUGUUAUUUUCACUCGUCUUGUUGCUUCAAUUCUUUCCUUCCUCCAAAUGUAAUUUGUUAAUCCUUUCUUCACAAUACUUUUCUCAUUCAUUGCUACAAUGUAGCUCCUACAACUUAUGCAAAAUCCUAUAACCUUCAUGCUUGAACUGUCUUAAUAGCCCCUUUGUUGGCAUUCUGCCUGCAUCCACAUCUUUCUCCUCCAGUCCACUGUCUACCUCAGUCUGUUACACACAGUUUGUGUCUAUAGUGACAUUACUCCUUUUUCAUGAAAUAUGUCUACCUGCUUUGUUCAGCUAGUGAUAUCAUAUUCAAUCUUUUGGCAACCCCCCUCCUCUGAGUGACCUACCUUAUCUCCCCAGGCAGAUUUGAUGCCUGCCUCAAUAUCCAAUAUCUUACCAAUGUCCUACCACUAUAUACCCUGUUGAUAUGGCAGUGAGGUUCAUACACAUAUUUUGUAUAUGUGUAUACUAAUACUAUAGUUUAUACCUGU